rnacentral:tRNA from 1 species
GGUCGGUUAGCUCAGUUGGUUAGAGCGUCGUACUAAUAGUAUAAGUGAUUAUAAUAAUAGUGAUGCGAAGGUCAUGAGUUCGACCCUCAUACUGACCA